UCGGCCUCCCAAAGUGCUGGGAUUACAGGCGUGAGCCACUGUGCCCGGCCAGAAGUGAUUGCUUUCUAAAGGUAGAUUACUGGCCAGAGUUUUUGAGUUACAAGAGCCACUCCAGAGAUUUCUUUUAGAAAAACAGUCACCACUGGCAACACAUUUCAGUGACACAGAAUGGCUCACAAAACUUGCUUACUUAUGUAACAUAUUCAACCUGCUCAAUGAAGUCAAUCUGUUGUCACUUCAAGGGAGAAUGACAACGGUGUUCAAGUCAACAGAUAAAAGUGGCUGCAUUCAAAGCCAAACUAGUAUUAUGAGGGCAAUGCAUAAACAUUGGGAUUUCUGACAUGUUUCAAACAUUAGCAGAAAUCUUGAAACAGACUGAGCCAGGGCCUUCUUUCUCCCAGCUGGUACAUGGAUCACCUAUCUCAGCUUUUUAAAGAAUCUGAGCAUUAAUUCCCAACCAUAAAAAAACCCGAACUGGGAAGAAAUGGAUAGCGACCCACUUGUAAAUUGCCAGGUGAAUCAACUUUGUCCACACUAGAAGAGAAUCAACUGCUUGAGACUGCAAAUGACAGUGGUCUUAAAAGUAUGUUUGAGACAACUUCAAGUCUCCAUACAUUUUGGAUUAGAGUCAAGGCAGAAUAUCCUGAGAUUGCCACAAAAGCACUGAAAAGCCUGCUUCCAUUUCCAACAUCAUAUCUUUGUGAAGCAGGGUUUUCUGCAAUGAUAGCGACCAAAAUGAGAUUACAGAGUAGACUGGACAUAAUCAACAAACUUUGGGUGUCACUGACUCCCAACACUCCCAGAUGAGACCGUCUAGUUGUGGAAAACAAGCUCCGGGCUCCCACUGAUUCUACAUUAUGGUCUGUGGAGAAAUUGUCUUCCUCAAAACCAGACCCUGGUGCCAAAAAGGUUAGGGACUUCUGCUAUACACUCUGAAGUUAUCCUUCAAGAGCGAAAGAGAAAGACUUCCACAGACAAAAAUUGAAGGAUUUUUGUGGCCAGUAUAUCUGCUUUGCAAGAAAUGUUAAAAGCCUUCAGAGAGAAGGGAAAUGACACAGGUCAGAAACUCACAUCUAGACAAAGAAAGCAAGAGCAUCGGAAAAGGAAUAAGUGAAGGUGGAGUAGGAGGGAGCAUAACCUGGCGUGAACUGAAAGUCUAUAAAGAAGGAAGUGCACUUCUCAAGGAAGAGCACCCAAAGGGCAGAAGAAGUAUUGAAGGGAAAUAAAGGCCUCAUCUGCUAGAAGAGAAUCCUUAAGUCCCAAAGAUGCACUAUAGAUGACAGAAUGCACUGUCGUGGCUGUAAGUUCCUAUCUCAUCAUCACUUUGGUGCAACUCCACAUCUGCAACUAGCCAUGAGAUAAGAGAAAAGGCCAGAUGACAUAUAUACCCUACACCAAGAAUGCAUGGAUGAAGAAUGAAGUUGAUAACAACCUACAAGCUGGUUCUUAGGCGCUGUCAGAACUCUAGGAGAACAAAGAAGCCUUCUAUUAAGGCAGAAGACAAUCCUGCUUCCUAAUAUAGAAAAGAGGAAAGGAUUUUAUAUUCAAAUAACUUCUCCCCUAUAUCCCUUUAGUAACACAUUUUUUCCCAAGUAGUUAGAAAACAAGAAUUUUUAUUCAGUAAAGUCAUAACUGGCUUUGAGAAGCAUACCAUUGCAUGGCAGUUAUAUAUUACUAGUAAAAUAUACAUCUUGACAAUAUCCCAGAAAACCGAGGUACUUGUUUUGAUAGAAAAACAUGUAUCAAAAUUCACAUAUUGAUAAAUCAUAAAAUUACUGUUGCUAUGCUGUUCUACUUAGAAUUUCAAAGUAAUCUAUCAUGUUUCUACAUCACUGUAACCAAUAUAAGUAAUCUAGAACAUGUUAAUUUAAGCAUAUAAUUUAUAACUUAUUAAUGACAAAACUUUGACAUGAACAUGCAAUGUAAAAGGUAGUUAUAAACCUUGUAACUAUGUGAGUUAAUUUGAAGAAACAAAGUAUGCCAUCAAAGUAACAUUUCAAAAUGUGUAAAGGUGAAACAGAGACAUUUUUACAGGUAAACAUUUUAUAUAUAUAUUUAGUAGCUGCCAAACUCAGGGAGCACUGGGAAGGCCUCAUUUAGAUGUUUUACCUAAAAAUGCAUAUGACACACUGUUCUCUACCCUAAUGUAGGCAUGUAGACCCUAACCAUAUAGAUUUAUAGACCCAGAAAAUAUACA
rnacentral:lncRNA from 1 species